GAGUAAUGUCUGGGAAACUGCCUGAUGGAGGGGGAUAACUACUGGAAACGGUAGCUAAUACCGCAUAACGUCGCAAGACCAAAGAGGGGGACCUUCGGGCCUCUUGCCAUCGGAUGUGCCCAGAUGGGAUUAGCUAGUAGGUGGGGUAACGGCUCACCUAGGCGACGAUCCCUAGCUGGUCUGAGAGGAUGACCAGCCACACUGGAACUGAGACACGGUCCAGACUCCUACGGGAGGCAGCAGUGGGGAAUAUUGCACAAUGGGCGCAAGCCUGAUGCAGCCAUGCCGCGUGUAUGAAGAAGGCCUUCGGGUUGUAAAGUACUUUCAGCGGGGAGGAAGGGAGUAAAGUUAAUACCUUUGCUCAUUGACGUUACCCGCAGAAGAAGCACCGGCUAACUCCGUGCCAGCAGCCGCGGUAAUACGGAGGGUGCAAGCGUUAAUCGGAAUUACUGGGCGUAAAGCGCACGCAGGCGGUUUGUUAAGUCAGAUGUGAAAUCCCCGGGCUCAACCUGGGAACUGCAUCUGAUACUGGCAAGCUUGAGUCUCGUAGAGGGGGGUAGAAUUCCAGGUGUAGCGGUGAAAUGCGUAGAGAUCUGGAGGAAUACCGGUGGCGAAGGCGGCCC
rnacentral:rRNA from 1 species